rnacentral:rRNA from 2 species
AUUCCAGCUCCAAUAGCGUAUAUUAAAGUUGUUGCAGUUAAAAAGCUAGUAGUUGGAUUUGUGGUGCUGCCUGCAGUCCAAUUAGCUUUGGUGCUAGCGGGUGGUGCCAUCUUUGGGUGGAACCUGUAGGGCAUUAGCUUGUUUUGCAGGGGAUAUUCAUCGUUUACUGUGAAAAAAUUAGAGUGUUCAAAGCAGGCUUAGGCCGUUGAAUAUACUAGCAUGGAAUAAUGAAAUAGGACUUUGGUACUAUUUUGUUGGUUUGCGCGCCGAAGUAAUGAUUAAUAGGGACAGUUGGGGGUAUUCGUAUUCCAUAGUCAGAGGUGAAAUUCUUGGAUUUUUGGAAGACGAACUACUGCGAAAGCAUUUACCAAGGAUGUU